AUUGAACGCUGGCGGCAUGCUUUACACAUGCAAGUCGAACGGUAACAGGCCGCGAAGUGCUGACGAGUGGCGAACGGGUGAGUAAUGCAUCGGAACGUGCCCAGUCGUGGGGGAUAACGCAGCGAAAGCUGUGCUAAUACCGCAUACGAUCUAUGGAUGAAAGCGGGGGACCGUAAGGCCUCGCGCGAUUGGAGCGGCCGAUGUCAGAUUAGGUAGUUGGUGGGGUAAAGGCCCACCAAGCCAACGAUCUGUAGCUGGUCUGAGAGGACGACCAGCCACACUGGGACUGAGACACGGCCCAGACUCCUACGGGAGGCAGCAGUGGGGAAUUUUGGACAAUGGGCGCAAGCCUGAUCCAGCAAUGCCGCGUGCAGGAAGAAGGCCUUCGGGUUGUAAACUGCUUUUGUACGGAACGAAACGGUCUGGGUUAAUACCUCGGGCUAAUGACGGUACCGUAAGAAUAAGCACCGGCUAACUACGUGCCAGCCGCCGCAGUAAGAC
rnacentral:rRNA from 1 species